rnacentral:rRNA from 1 species
AUUGAACGCUGGCGGCGUGCUUAACACAUGCAAGUCGAGCGGUAACAGGUGUAGCAAUACAUGCUGACGAGCGGCGAACGGGUGAGUAAUGCUUCGGAAUCUUCCUCGUAGUGGGGAAUAACCUGGGGAAACUCAGGCUAAUACCGCAUACGAACUACGGUUGAAAGCAGGGGAUCGCAAGACCUUGCGCUAUGAGAUGAGCCGAAGUCGGAUUAGCUAGUUGGUGAGGUAAAGGCUCACCAAGGCGACGAUCCGUAGCGGGUCUGAGAGGAUGAUCCGCCACACUGGGACUGAGACACGGCCCAGACUCCUACGGGAGGCAGCAGUGGGGAAUUUUGGACAAUGGGCGAAAGCCUGAUCCAGCCAUGCCGCGUGUCUGAAGAAGGCC